CCCACGACCCUCCCGUCUUCACCUCCAACGCCAGCGCGCCGCCACCCCUGCCACGGCGCCGCGCGCCGCCGGCCCCGACGAGACCUCUGUCUCCAGCACGAUAACUCGACACGCCCUGGCUCUAGGGUUUCCUCCGCCGCCACGCCCCCAUUCCUCCCUCUCCGCGGUGCACGGGGCAGGGGGAACCGGGCGACGGCGACGGCGGCGGCGUGAUCUCCGGCAAGCGGCUGGGGCGAGCGGUGGGGACGGGAUCCAGUGGCGGUGGCAAGCUCUUGUAGAUCGGUGGCGAGGAGAAAGAGGGAUUGAGUGAAAGGGAGAUGCAGGGGAGAGAGGGGAAGGAAGGAGAAGAAGAGGAGCUGGGGAAGUGGGGCGUAGGAGAGAGAGAGGGCGGAAGGAAGGAGGAGAAGGAGAGAUGGCAGGGGGCAGCCUGUGUGGUUGCUCCGGUGAUGGCAUCCGGCAGGGUCAGGCGGCGGUUAUCGCCCUUGCCAUGGUCAGGGAAGCUGGUUCAUGGAGUUCCCGGAGGCCGGCCUUAAGAUAUGUGCAGCAGCGAGCAAGUGGAAAGAUAGCUUGUGCUGCAUUUAGACAAUCGAUGCUAUGAAGACCAAUGUGAGUUAAUUAGGUGAGGAGAUGAAGAAGAACGAGGAGUUUUGGGGGACAGAGAUCAAGUGGCGGCCCUUGAGGAGCGGGGACGGAUGCCGCGUCCGUAUGCCUGCUACCUGUUAGACCUGGUUUAGGCCGUCUCAGGUGGAAGAACUAGGUAAGAAGGGCAUGGAGAGCGCGCCCGGGAUAAUCAGAGAUAAGGCAGAGGGCGAGGACACAUAGGGAAGCCUUGCAGGGAAGAGAAGCAAGCUCGAGCUGUAGGUUACAAUCUGAUCCUGGGAAGAGCUGAUUUUGGUGAAGCUAGGGUUCUACGUCCAUGGCGAAUUCUGCAAACACCAUAGGGUCGUCCAACCAAGGGGAAAGGAGCAGGCCUGUGUCAAUCGUUUCCCGCAAUGCCAUCCAAGUAUGUAUUCAUUUUCCUGUAAUCUCUGUGCUGAUCACCAACCUAUGUAGAUGAUCUUGAUUGCUCUCUGAACACACUUUGAAUAUUCUAGAUCUGUGUGCCUACUCUGUGUUGCCCACCAACAUAUGUACGUGAUCUUGAUUGCUCUCUAAUCUCACUUCGAAUAUUCUGGAUCUGUGUGGCAUAGCCAACCUUAGAAUUACAGAACUUAUGCGGAAUUGAUUCAGAAGUUAUUUUGUCCGGAACAAAAGGCACUCAAAUGAUGCUACUCCCUUUUGAUAUGAGAAAAUGGAAACUCCCUCAGUAAGAGGUACCCACUCCUCUCUCAUGCCGUCAAGGGACUGCAUACUCUUGCUAUUCUGACCUGCAGCCCGCCCCACUUAGGCACUUAGUCCAAUGAUAAGUCGAUGCAGGUCUUUCGAUCCACAAUAACAAAACAGCGAGUAAUGCAUGCUACUAUUUCUUAUUAUCUUAUAUAAACAUAAAAUUUAAUUCUCCCCGCAAAAAACCUCUAAUUUAAUGCGCACUAUAUUGAUGCAAAAAUAUGCAACCUCGAUUCAGUAUUGUUUCAUCAAGAUCCUCUAUUCUUUCCCCUACUUUAUCGUGGUCUGCACAUAAAAGAAUGGUUGGUAUGAUCCUUUCUAUUCAUGUGCUGUAUGCUUAUAUGCUUAACUUGAUCAAUUGUUCUUCACACUUUUGCAGUUUACUGAUGGCUGAGUCUGUAGGAUGAUUUCGUUGUAUUGCCAGAACUUUUUUUCCAACAUUAUGCUAUAUCUGAAUUAUUGUUAUUGGAGUGUCCUAACUUCAUCAUUUGUUUAGUCAAGCGGCAUCAUUGUGCACAUAUGUGGAAUUGGGCUUAAUGUUUUUAGUAUUUGGCCGUUUAGAGGAUUUAGCUUUUAUUAUUAGGGUAGUACUACGACAAGUUAGCAGCGGUGUUUUUGGAAGUAACAUUAUACCUAACGCUAACAUAUAACGCUACUGUUGAAAGGUGCUAAUGUAGAGAACUCUACAAAUUAGUGAAUGCCUAGAUUUUUUUGACCUAUUUUUGUUACUCAAGGAGAGAGAGAUAGAGAGUAAUAAGAAAAAUAAGAGGUCAUUGCUCGCCCGGUUUCGUUCAAUAUAUAGUAGAUUCGUCAAGGAUCAAAUCAAAGUAGAGCGAGCAAUUCAUCUACAAUUUGGAGCAGAACAAAGGGGAUCCAUCAAUAGAAAAGUUCAGGCUCGCUAUGAUGUAAACGCGCAACCAGCUUUCAGGUGAUGAAAUUCAGUUCUAAUUUUGUUCUCAUUUGACUGUAGUUUUUGUAACUGACCUGCGUCUUCUUGCAUGUAAUUAAGGCUCACACACCAAUGUCCUCGGAUGUACUAGAAAAUCCUAUAGGAGUAAAUAUUUAACUUUCUGAUGUAAUAAGAAUGUCAAAGUUGUUUUGUUAUCGCGGUGCUCCGUUUGUCGGUUACAUGUAUAUUAGUCGAAUAUUCCUACCAUAAAAAGCUACUACGGGAAGAUGCCACAAUCUCCGCGGGCAAGUGGUGGUGGUGAGUCUGUCGUGGAGGGCAGAUUCGACCAUGGAGUGGCUAUCACUGCAGAAGGCAUGCCACUAGCCACACAGACGACCAUCCGCGCCGCCCUCGGCAAUAAUUAUGUAACCAGCAAGGACCUGUAAUGAAAUUUUCAGGUUGUUGCUUCAUAUCAUAGAGGCUUGCGUCGUGCAGAGGCACCGGUGGCGGCCUAGAUCCAUGUGUAAUACAUAUGGUAUGUGGUGGUGUUGAUGGUGGGCAGGGAUUGUUUGGAUGCAGCUGGCAGCUGUGCCGCGAGGUGGGUGGUGGAAGGGAGCUUCAAGGCAACAAAGGCAUAGGCUUCACGGCAACACAUUCUAUGAUUUUCUUCCAAAAUCUGAAACUAUUUGGCCCCUAAAUUGUAGUCCCCUUGAGAAAGUCAGAGUAUUGAUGGUCUGGUCUAUGGAUGUUGAAAAAUUUGAUUGCAGCCGGGACCGCAAAGAAAGUGCAGGGCUCACCGUUGUAGAUAUCUGCAGGGCAACAUCAAAUUUCAGUGACAAGAACAUCGCCAGGCAGGGGGCUUCAUGCAUCAUUGCAUGUGGGUAUUCUUUACUAUUAUGAAUUGUUUUUGUUUCUUGGAGACACUAACCGUAGCUUCUUAUAGUGCCUAGCAUGGUAAAAGAGCAAUAUUG